rnacentral:rRNA from 1 species
AUCUGCCAAGGCUAAAUACUCCCUGGUGACCGAUAGUGAAGCAGUACCGUGAGGGAAAGGUGAAAAGAACCGCGGGAGCGGAGUGAAAAAGAACCUGAAACCGUGUGCUUACAAGAAGUCAGAGCCCUAUGUUGCGAACUUGUUCGUCAACAGGGUGAUGGCGUGCCUUUUGUAGAAUGAACCGGCGAGUUACGUUUGCAAGCAAGGUUAAGGUGAGAAGCCGUAGCCGCAGCGAAAGCGAGUCUGAAUAGGGCGAAAUAGUUUGUAGGCGUAGACCCG